AGAGUUUGAUCCUGGCUCAGAAUGAACGUUGGCGGUGCGCCUUAUGCAUGCAAGUCGAACGGUCGAGCACGUAACUUGUUAUGUGCUCGAUAGUGGCGAACGGCUGAGUAACACGUAAGUAACCUGCCUCGGAGUGGGAAAUAACCUGCCGAAAGGCAAGCUGAUGUCCCAUGUGGUAACGAAGCAAAUGCUUUGUUAUUAAAGCCUUAGGGUGCUCCAAGAGGGGCUUGCGCCUGAUUAGCUAGUUGGUAGGGUAAUGGCCUACCAAGGCGAUGAUCGGUAGCUGGUCUGAGAGGAUGGUCAGCCAGAUGGGGACUGGGAUACGGCCCCAACUCCUACGGGAGGCAGCAGCAAGGAAUCUUGGGCAAUGAGCGAAAGCUUGACCCAGCGACACCGCGUGAGGGAAGAAGGCCUUCGGGUUGUAAACCUCUUUUCUUGGGGAAGAAUUCUGACGGUACCCAAGGAAUAAGCCUCGGCCAACUACGUGCCAGCCGCCGCGGUAAUAC
rnacentral:rRNA from 1 species